UACGAAGGGGGCGAGCGUUGUUCGGAUUUACUGGGCGUAAAGGGCGCGUAGGCGGUGUGUCAAGUCAGGCGUGAAAGCCCCGGGCUCAACCUGGGAACGGCGCUUGAGACUGGCACGCUCGAGUUCGGGAGAGGAUGGUGGAAUUCCCGGUGUAGAGGUGAAAUUCGUAGAUAUCGGGAGGAACACCAGUGGCGAAGGCGGCGAUCUGGGAAGAUACUGACGCUGAGGUGCGAAAGCGUGGGGAGCAAACAGG
rnacentral:rRNA from 1 species